UAGUCACCACCCUUGUUUGGGGAUUAUGUCAAAGUUCUGUGUGAAUGUGAGGCCAGGACCAAAUGUCAACAACCAAAGACCAACAACCAUGGGAGGUAGGUGUCGCCUGGAAAGAACAAGGAGCUGCCAGUGUCACACAACUAUACAGAGAGAGAGUUGGGCUCUCCUGCUUUCCACUGGAAGCUGCCCCGAUGCCCUGCCACCCUGCCCAACUCUGUCCCUCUGUCCAGCCUGGGGGCGUUUCAAGCCCUACUAGGAGGCCAGUAAUCAAGGAAAGGUAGGUUUCUGG